AAAAACUCCGGUGGUGUAAGAUGGACCCGCGUCUGAUUAGCUUGUUGGCGGGGUAACGGCCCACCAAGGCGACGAUCAGUAGCCGGCCUGAGAGGGCGGACGGCCACAUUGGGACUGAGACACGGCCCAGACCCCUACGGGAGGCAGCAGUGGGGAAUAUUGCACAAUGGGGGAAACCCUGAUGCAGCGACGCCGCGUGAGUGAAGAAGUAAUUCGUUACGUAAAGCUCUAUCAGCAGGGAAGAAAUACUGACCUUACGGUCAGCAGACGGUACCUGAGUAAGAAGCCCCGGCUAACUACGUGCCAGCAGCCGCGGUAAUACGUAGGGGGCAAGCGUUAUCCGGAUUUACUGGGUGUAAAGGGAGCGUAGACGGUGCGCCAAGUCUGGAGUGAAAUGCCGCAGCUUAACUGCGGAACUGCUUUGGAAACUGGCGAACUAGAGUGCGGGAGGGGUAAGCGGAAUUCCUAGUGUAGCGGUGAAAUGCGUAGAUAUUAGGAGGAACACCGGUGGCGAAGGCGGCUUACUGGGCCGUAACUGACGUUGAGGCUCGAAAGCGUGGGGAGCAAACAGGAUUAGAUACCCUGGUAGUCCACGCCGUAAACGAUGAUUACUAGGUGUCGGGGACCCAAGGGUCUCCG
rnacentral:rRNA from 1 species